rnacentral:rRNA from 1 species
AUUGAACGCUGGCGGCAUGCCUUACACAUGCAAGUCGAACGGCAGCACGGGUGCUUGCACCUGGUGGCGAGUGGCGAACGGGUGAGUAAUACAUCGGAACAUGUCCUGUAGCGGGGGAUAGCCCGGCGAAAGCCGGAUUAAUACCGCAUACGAUCUACGGAUGAAAGCGGGGGACCUUCGGGCCUCGCGCUGUAGGGUUGGCCGAUGGCUGAUUAGCUAGUUGGUGGGGUAAAGGCCUACCAAGGCGACGAUCAGUAGCUGGUCUGAGAGGACGACCAGCCACACUGGGACUGAGACACGGCCCAGACUCCUACGAGAGGCAGCAGUGGGGAAUGUUGGACAAUGGGCGAAAGCCUGAUCCAGCAAUGCCGCGUGUGUGAAGAAGGCCUUCGGGUUGUAAAGCACUUUUGUCCGGAAAGAAAUCCUUGGCCCUAAUACGGUCGGGGGAUGACGGUACCGGAAGAAUAAGCACCGGCUAACUACGUG